rnacentral:lncRNA from 1 species
GUAAGAAAUAAAGGGUGACAUUCUUAUCCACUAGAACAUUUUUCUUGUAACCUUGUUCCAUAUGAUACGUUUCCUUGAACUUUUUUCGUCAUGCUUUUGGUGCUUCCAUGAAGUCAUCACUUGGUAGAUUCUCUGAUUCCGUGCACCUUUUCAUUGACAUGGCUCCUGUCAUGAUAGAUUUUCUAUAUAUUGAUGACAUAAAGACCUCAAAUGAUUGUUUUGGAGA